AUAUGCCAAACUAAAGUCUUAUAAAAAAACUUAAAUUAGGCCUAUUCAGAUAAUAUAUCCUGGUUCAAACAGUAUCCUGAUGAUAAAUCACCACUAUGCCUAAUGCAGCAGUUAUUGACUUCUUUCAACAGUAUAAUUUCUCCAUCAAGCAAAAAGGCAAAAUUUUAGUUUCAUUAGAAUAGUGGCAGAAUCACAACCUCCAUGAUCCAUCAUCUUAUCCCAUCAAUCCAACACUAAUAACUGAUAGGCAAUUGCAUAACAGUAUAAGUGGAUAAACAGCCAUAAAAUAGCAUCACUACCAAACCAAUACACAGACAUAAUCAAGCAGCCAGUAGAAUUCAAAUGCAUCUAUUCAUAUAUACAUCCAACAUCUUUUUUUCCCCCUGGCAAAUGCAACUGUAAUUUUCAUUCAAAUAUUCAAAUGGA
rnacentral:misc_RNA from 1 species